rnacentral:rRNA from 1 species
AGAGUUUGAUCCUGGCUCAGAUUGAACGCUGGCGGCGUGCCUAACACAUGCAAGUCGAGCGGUAACAGGCGUAGCAAUACGUGCUGACGAGCGGCAAACGGGUGAGUAACGCUUCGGAAUCUGCCCAAUGGUGGGGAAUAACCAGCCGAAAGGUUGGCUAAUACCGCAUGAGCCCUUCGGGGGAAAGCGGGGGAUCGCAAGACCUCGCGCCGAUGGAUGAGCCGAAGCCGGAUUAGCUAGUUGGUAGGGUAACGGCCUACCAAGGCGACGAUCCGUAGCUGGUCUGAGAGGACGACCAGCCACACUGGGACUGAGACACGGCCCAGACUCCUACGGGAGGCAGCAGUGGGGAAUAUUGGACAAUGGGGGAAACCCUGAUCCAGCGACGCCGCGUGUGUGAAGACGGCCUGCGGGUUGUAAAGCACUUAUAGUGAGGA